AUUGAACGCUGGCGGCAGACUUAACACAUGCAAGUCGAGCGCGGGGCGGAGGGGUGUGUAAUGUCGGGGACAGCGCCUGGGGGAGGGGGAAAACUACGGAACACGGUAGCUAACACCGCAUCCUCACAUAUGUGCCCAGAUGGGCUUAGCUAGUAGGUGGGGUAAUGUCUCACCGAGGCGACGAUCCCUAGCUGGUCUGAGAGGAUGACCAGCCACACUGGAACUGAGACACGGUCCAGACUCCUACGGGAGGCAGCAGUGGGGAAUAUUGCACAAUGGGCGCAAGCCUGAGGCAGCCAUGCCGCGUGUGUGAAGAAGGCCUUCGGGUUGUAAAGCACUUUCAGCGAGGAGGCGUUACUCGCAGAAGAAGCACCGGCUAACUCCGUGCCAGCAGCCGCGGUAAUUC
rnacentral:rRNA from 1 species